rnacentral:lncRNA from 1 species
GCAGUCGAUACUGGAGGGUCUGGGGCUGCAGAAACAGGCAUAUAUAGCAGAGAUAAUUAAAACAUUUCAUGAUUAUGACAGCCACAUUCUGCUGCUGCAAGCUGGAGGAUUCAUGCCACCCAAAUAUUUAGCAAGCAUCAAAUAAAACACUGGUGGCAAAAUAAAAGUAAUAGAAAAAAAAAACAGAGCGUAAUACAUUUCAAAGGC